rnacentral:rRNA from 1 species
AAUCAAGUGCCUUAAGGGUGUUCGGUGGAUGCCUUGGCGCUGAGAGGCGAUGAAGGACGUGCUACGCUGCGAUAAGCCGUGGGGAGCUGCGAAGAAGCUUUGAUCCGCGGAUUUCCGAAUGGGGAAACCCACCUUCGAUAGCCGGAACUCCAAGACCUUGUGUGUUGGGGUUCGACCAGAAAUGCGAGAAAUCAAACCGCGAGGUUUUGGAUUUCCGGUUAUCAAGAGAAGGUAUGAGACCUCCGAAUAAAAUAGGAGGUUUUAAGCAAACCCAGGGAACUGAAACAUCUAAGUACC